CUACGGAGGGUGCGAGCGUUGUUCGGAAUUAUUGGGCGUAAAGAGCAUGUAGGCGGUCUGUUAAGUCUGGUGUGAAAGCCCGGGGCUCAACCCCGGAAGUGCAUUGGAUACUGGCAGACUUGAGUAUGGGAGAGGAAAGCGGAAUUCCGAGUGUAGGAGUGAAAUCCGUAGAUAUUCGGAGGAACACCAGUGGCGAAGGCGGCUUUCUGGACCAAUACUGACGCUGAGAUGCGAAAGCGUGGGGAGCAAACAGGAUUAGAAACCCCGGUAGUCC
rnacentral:rRNA from 1 species